GAAACGUGCCUGAACUACAAGGAUUAUUUUGAUAAAAUAAUUACAGAGGCUACAACCUCUCGUUUCUUA
rnacentral:tRNA from 1 species